rnacentral:lncRNA from 10 species
CUGGUCUGAGUAUGGAGGUGGAUUUGGCAGAUGCGGGAUCGAGGCCAUCAAGCUACUGAUGGUCUUACGAAUGGAACCCCAAAUGAGCUCAACUAACAACUUCUACCGAGGACCCCCUGGACCAACCCACUGACCCUUUGGCUGGCCUAGAGAGUUCCCCUCUGGAGGACACUAACACUGCAGGGCCCCUUCUUCGCCCCUAUCCAGCAGUUACAGUCCUGAAGACUCCAGAACAAUAAUACUAUAUUACAAGAUUACUAGAAUGACAGAGUCACCCCAGCCGCUGCUGACCCAGGAACCUCAGCCCAGAGACCCUACACUGCCAACACAUACAUGCCUGCAUAUAGCCUUGAGCCCUAGCCCCCACUUCCACAUGCGUACUUGUGCCUGACCCCUUGUAUUAGUCAGGGUUCUCUAGAGGGACAGGACUGGACUAAUAUGGGUGUAUAUAUAAAGGGGAGUUGAUUAAGGAGUAUCGACUUACACAAUCACAAGGUGAAGUCCGACAAUAGGCCGUCUGCAAGCUGGAGAGCAAGGUAAAUGCAACUCCUCUGCAUUUUUCAAAAUCUGUGCAUACUCAAGCCCUGAGGUCAACCCUCCAGAAUCUGUAUAUGUGAAAAUUUGGCCCUCUUUGUACGUGGGUUUUGCAUCCUACAAAUACUAUAGUUUCAGUCUGUGUUUGGUUGAAAAAAAUCCCCUU